AGAGUUUGAUCCUGGCUCAGAAUCAACGCUGGCGGCGUGCCUAACACAUGCAAGUCGAACGAGAAAGGGGCUUCGGCCCUGAGUAAAGUGGCGCACGGGUGAGUAACACGUGACUAACCUACCCUUGAGUGGGGGAUAGCCGAGGGAAACCUUGAUUAAUACCGCAUAAUACCUACGGGUCAAAGGAGCAAUUCGCUUAAGGAGGGGGUCGCGGCCGAUUAGUUAGUUGGCGGGGUAAUGGCCCACCAAGACAGUGAUCGGUAUCCGGCCUGAGAGGGCGCACGGACACACUGGAACUGAAACACGGUCCAGACUCCUACGGGAGGCAGCAGUGGGGAAUUUUGCGCAAUGGGGGAAACCCUGACGCAGCAACGCCGCGUGGAGGAUGAAGUCUCUUGGGACGUAAACUCCUUUCGAUCGGGACGAUAAUGACGGUACCGAGAGAAGAAGCCCCGGCUAACUUCGUGCCAGCAGCCGCGGUAAUACGAGGGGGGCGAGCGUUGUUCGGAAUUAUUGGGCGUAAAGGGUGCGUAGGCGGUUCGGCAAGUCUUGUGUGAAAUCUUCGGGCUCAACUCGAAGUCUGCACUAGAAACUGCCGGGCUUGAGUGUGGGAGAGGUGAGUGGAAUUUCCGGUGUAGCGGUGAAAUGCGUAGAUAUCGGAAGGAACACCUGUGGCGAAAGCGGCUCACUGGACCACAACUGACGCUGAGGCACGAAAGCUAGGGGAGCAAACAGGAUUAGAUACCCUAGUAGUCC
rnacentral:rRNA from 1 species